rnacentral:ribozyme from 17 species
UUUUUUUUUUUUUUUUUUUUUUUUCAAAAAAAAAAAAAAAAAA